rnacentral:misc_RNA from 1 species
GGCAAAACCCCAUACUUUGUCAAUGCCACUGCUGGAACAACUGUUUUUGGAGCAUUUGAUCCCAUCGAUGAAAUUGCUGAUAUUUGCCAGAAAUACAAUCUGUGGAUGCAUGUUGAUGGUGCCUGGGGUGGUGGCGCCCUCCUGUCCAAGACCUACAGUCCCCUUUUGAAGGGAGUGGAAAGGGCUGACUCAAUGACUUGGAACCCCCAUAAACUCAUGGGUGUUCCCCAGCAGUGCUCGCUCGUCUUUACCAAACACAAGGGUUUGCUCGAGCAGUGCCACUCUGCCAAUGCCUCGUACCUGUUCCAACAGGACAAGUUUUACGAUGUCUCUUACGAUACCGGCGACAAGUCCAUUCAGUGUGGCCGCAAGAAUGACGUCCUGAAGCUGUGGAUCAUGUGGAAGAACAAGGGAGAUGAAGGCUUUGAGAGAGACAUUGACAAUCAGUUUGAAUGUGCCAAAUACCUGGCCCAGCUCGUCCAGGAGAGGGAGGGAUUCGAGCUUAUGCUGGAGCCUCAGUGCACCAACGUGUGUUUCUACUAUAUCCCCAAGAGACUACGUGGUCUAGAGAGAACUCCAGAGUGGUGGAAUGAAAUCUCCAAGGUGGGGCCAAAGGUCAAGGAGGGAAUGAUGAAGGCAGGCUCCAUGAUGGUCGGUUACCAGCCUGAUGGUGACUUUGUUAAUUUCUUCAGGAUGAUCAUCUCAAAUUUGGACACUGUGAAAAGUGACAUGGAUUUCGUUGUUGAUGAAAUUGAUAGGCUAGGAAAAGAUCUCUAAGAAUAGUGUUCAAAUACCAAAACAGUCUUUCAUCCGUUUUAAGGCAAUUAUUAUGAGACAAUUUGCUGAAACGAACAAGUGAUUACAUUGAAUUCGUCCUUUUAUCUGUUUUUUAGGCGUUCAUUAGUACAUGUAUUACAAGACAUUUUGUUGAAAUGAAGAGGCAAUUACAUUGAAUUUCUUCACCAAUCAUCCCUCAUAUUUAUUUCUUGUGUUUCACUGAUUUGUAUAUUUAUUUCGUCUCCUGUUCAGAUCUAUGUAUAUAUUGUUGAUAUUCUGUACAUGCAAACUGUUCUUAAGAGUUGUUACUGUUAUGAAUUAGAAAACUGAAAAAAGACAUUAAAAAAAAAAAAAUAGUGAAAAAUGCAUUGGAAAAAAUUGAGAAAAGAAUAAAAAAUAUUCCUU